rnacentral:rRNA from 1 species
GACGAACGCUGGCGGCGUGCUUAACACAUGCAAGUCGAACGGAAAGGCCCUGCUUUUGUGGGGUGCUCGAGUGGCGAACGGGUGAGUAACACGUGAGUAACCUGCCCUUGACUUUGGGAUAACUUCAGGAAACUGGGGCUAAUACCGGAUAGGAGCUCCGGCUGCAUGGUGGGGGUUGGAAAGUUUCGGCGGUUGGGGAUGGACUCGCGGCUUAUCAGCUCGUUGGUGGGGUAGUGGCUUACCAAGGCUUUGACGGGUAGCCGGCCUGAGAGGGUGACCGGCCACAUUGGGACUGAGAUACGGCCCAGACUCCUACGGGAGGCAGCAGUGGGGAAUAUUGCAGAAUGGGCGGAAGCCUGAUGCAGCAACGCCGCGUGCGGGAUGACGGCCUUCGGGUUGUAAACCGCUUUCGCCUGUGACGAAGCGUGAGUGACGGUAAUGGGUAAAGAAGCACCGGCUAACUACGUG